rnacentral:rRNA from 1 species
UACGUAGGGUGCAAGCGUUGUCCGGAAUUAUUGGGCGUAAAGAGCUCGUAGGCGGUUUGUCGCGUCUGCUGUGAAAACUCGGGGCUUAACUCCGGGCCUGCAGUGGGUACGGGCAGACUAGAGUGCGGUAGGGGAGACUGGAAUUCCUGGUGUAGCGGUGAAAUGCGCAGAUAUCAGGAGGAACACCAGUGGCGAAGGCGGCUCGCUGGGACGGUACUGACGCUGAGGCGCGAAAGCGUGGGGAGCAAACAGG